GACGAACGCUGGCGGCGUGCCUAACACAUGCAAGUCGAGCGGGGUUGAAGCGAGGGGUAACUCGGACUUCUACCUAGCGGCGGACGGGUGAGUAACGCGUGGGCAACCUGCCUCAAGGUUUGGGAUAACAGCUCGAAAGGGCUGCUAAUACCGGAUAUGCCUGUGGCCUCGCAUGGGGCUAUGAGCAAAGGGGAAACCCGCCUUGAGAUGGGCCCGCGUCCCAUCAGCUAGUUGGUGAGGUGAAGGCUCACCAAGGCGACGACGGGUAGCCGGCCUGAGAGGGUGACCGGCCACACUGGGACUGAGACACGGCCCAGACUCCUACGGGGGGCAGCAGUGGGGGAUCUUGCACAAUGGGCGAAAGCCUGAUGCAGCGACGCCGCGUGAGCGAAGAAGGCCUUCGGGUUGUAAAGCUCUGUCUGGAGGACGAAACAAAGUAGACGGUACCGUCCGGAGGAAGCCGACGGCUAACUACGUG
rnacentral:rRNA from 1 species